rnacentral:rRNA from 1 species
CCAGACUCCUACGGGAGGCAGCAGUGAGGAAUAUUGGUCAAUGGGCGCGAGCCUGAACCAGCCAAGUCGCGUGAGGGAAGACGGUCCUAUGGAUUGUAAACCUCUUUUGUCGGGGAGCAAAAGACGCCACGCGUGGCGUUCCGAGAGUACCCGAAGAAAAAGCGUCGGCUAACUCCGUGCCAGCAGCCGCGGUAAUACGGAGGAUGCGAGCGUUAUCCGGAUUUAUUGGGUUUAAAGGGUGCGCAGGCGGAAGAUCAAGUCAGCGGUAAAAUUGAGAGGCUCAACCUCUUCGAGCCGUUGAAACUGGUUUUCUUGAGUGAGCGAGAAGUAUGCGGAAUGCGUGGUGCAGCGGUGAAAUGCAUAGAUAUCACGCAGAACUCCGAUUGCGAAGGCAGCAUACCGGCGCUCAACUGACGCUCAUGCACGAAAGUGUGGGUAUCGAACAGGAUUAGAUACCCUGGUAGUCCACACAGUAAACGAUGAAUACUAAUUGUUCGGG